GACGAACGCUGGCGGCGUGCUUAACACAUGCAAGUCGAACGGAAAGGCCCCUUUGGGGGUACUCGAGUGGCGAACGGGAGCGUAACACGUGCGUAACCUGCCCUUGACUUCGGGAUAACUUCAGGAAACUGGGGCUAAUACCGGAUAGGAAUCCUUGCUGCAUGGAGGGGGUUGGAAAGCUUCGGCGGUUUUGGCUGGACUCGCGGCUUAUCAGCCUGUUGGUGGGGUAGUGGCUUACCAAGGCUUUGACGGGUAGCCGGCCUGGGAGGGCGACCGGCCACAAUGGGACUGAGGUACGGCCCAGACUGCAUCGGGAGGCAGCAGUGGGAGAUAGUGCAAAAUGGGCGGAAGCCUGAUGCAGCAACGCCGCGUGCGGGAUGACGGCCUUCGGGUUGUAAACCGCUUUCAGCAGGGGCGAAGCUUGUGGUGACGGUACCGGCAGAAGAAGCACGGGCAAACUACGU
rnacentral:rRNA from 1 species